UGGGGAAUAUUGCACAAUGGGCGCAAGCCUGAUGCAGCCAUGCCGCGUGUAUGAAGAAGGCCUUCGGGUUGUAAAGUACUUUCAGCGGGGAGGAAGGGAGUAAAGUUAAUACCUUUGCUCAUUGACGUUACCCGCAGAAGAAGCACCGGCUAACUCCGUGCCAGCAGCCGCGGUAAUACGGAGGGUGCAAGCGUUAAUCGGAAUUACUGGGCGUAAAGCGCACGCAGGCGGUUUGUUAAGUCAGAUGUGAAAUCCCCGGGCUCAACCUGGGAACUGCAUCUGAUACUGGCAAGCUUGAGUCUCGUAGAGGGGUGUAGAAUUCCAGGUGUAGCGGUGAAAUGCGUAGAGAUCUGGAGGAAUACCGGUGGCGAAGGCGGCCCCCUGGACGAAGACUGACGCUCAGGUGCGAAAGCGUGGGGUGCAAACAGG
rnacentral:rRNA from 1 species